UCGAGUGUUGCCCCCCUCGUAAAAAAAGGGGGGUACCUCCCGUCCUUUGCUGAGGGCCCCCCUCUUUUAUUUUUUUUGGGAGGGGGCUUUUACAAGAACCCCUUUCUGCUUCGGCGGGGCCAACCCCCCUGCCGGAACACCCUCAAAAAUUCUUUUAAAUUUGUCCGAGGGAUUUUUUAAAAAAUGAUACA
rnacentral:misc_RNA from 1 species